rnacentral:rRNA from 1 species
UCGAGAAUCUUUGUCAAUGGACGAAAGUCUGAACAAGCGACGCCGCGUGCGGGAUGAAGGCCUUCGGGUUGUAAACCGCUGUCAGAGGUUAGGAAAUUUUGACCGAUCCUCAGAGGAAGUCCGGGCUAAGUUCGUGCCAGCAGCCGCGGUAAGACGAACCGGACAAACGUUAUUCGGAAUUACUGGGCUUAAAGAGUACGUAGGCGGCCAUGUAGGUCAGAUGUGAAAUCCCUCGGCUCAACCGAGGAACUGCGUUUGAAACCACAUGGCUUGAGGGAGAUAGAGGUUAGCGGAACUGAUGGUGGAGCGGUGAAAUGUGUUGAUAUCAUCAGGAACACCAGUGGCGAAGGCGGCUAACUGGGUCUCUUCUGACGCUGAGGUACGAAAGCUAGGGGAGCGAACGGGAUUAGAUACCCCCGUAGUCC